GUAGAGUAUUCAGAAUUGUUCGAAACAAUACCAACCGAGUGGAGUCACCACGGUGGUAAAAUAAUACGGGUGUCUGCCAAAAUAAACGUCAAUC
rnacentral:ncRNA from 2 species